CUCGAUCAUUUUUCCUCAGUGGUUUAUCCAAUAUAUCAUUAGCACUUUCAAGUUAUGAAAUUUACCGUCAUUUUGUAAUAAACGUCGCGAUAUUAUUGAGCGAAAUAUUGAUGGAGUCGAUUCAUUUCCGUCACGAUCACUGACUGUAAAUAGGCUGUCAGCGGAUUGUACUGCAGACUCGGUAAAUAUGAUCUUGUCUAUUCGUGUGAAAAGAUCAUUAAAAGCGAUAAAUCCAUAAUAAAUAGAAUUUAUGUCCUGAUAUUUUACGAAUUUUGUUUUUAAUAAAUAUUGCUGGAUAAAACAUGGAUGAAGAGAGCUUAUGUGACAGUUUGAUAAUAUGGGUGAGUAGAUUAGAACACAUUAGAUCAAAUUAGAUCUUGUAUAAAGUCAGCUAGUUGUCACUUCAUGUCAACAUUUCAUAAUAUAUAUGUACCUCUAUAUACAUUUAUAUUGAUUUAUACAGACGCUUUAUUAUACUUAUUUUUUUAUAUUACAUUUCUUAAUACAUUUUGCUAUGCUUAUAAUAUAUAUGUAAAAAAUAUUUUGUCUAUACAUAUUUGUUGUCAAGAAAAUAUUUUAAACCAAUAAAUGGUAUGUGUUAAUCAGUGAUACAAAUCCACUAAUUAUUAACAUAUUUCAUGCACUAAUUAUUGAUAUAUCAUUUAAAGCUGAACACAUUUGACACUAUUGAAGCAGCCAAGUCAACUGCAGCAGAAUUGAGUGAUGGUGUGGCAAUGUGUCAAUGUCUAGCUGCCAUGUAAGUUUAUAUGUUACUGGUCCAUUUUACUGUUUUAAUAUAUACUUACCAUAUUUGAGCAAUUGAAAUAUAUGACUGUUCCUAUGCCAGGGUUCUGUGCUUUAUAUCGGCCUGCACAAAAUUGCAG